UUAUCGGAGAGUUUGAUCCUGGCUCAGAACGAACGCUGGCGGCACGCCUCAUACAUGCAAGUCGAGCGAUUAAAGCCCCUUCGGGGGUGUAUAGAGCGGCGAACGGGUGAGUAACAGGUGGAUAAUCUGCCCUCUGGCGGGGGACAACAGUUGGAAACGACUGCUAAUACCGCAUGUGAUUGUGCGCUUAUGGCGUGCAAGGAAAGGCGCUUCACGGCGCCACCAGAGGAUGAGUCCGCCCCCCAUUAGCUAGUUGGUGAGAUAACAGCCCACCAAGGCUUCGAUGGGUAGCCGAGCUGAGAGGUUGAUCGGCCACACUGGAACUGAGACACGGUCCAGACAUCUACGGAUGGCAGCAGUAGGGAAUAUUGCGCAAUGGGCGAAAGCCUGACGCAGCGAUGCCGCGUGAGUGACGAAGGUCUUAGGAUUGUAAAGCUCUUUUCUGAGGGAAGAAUGGUCCGGGCAGGAAAUGGCCUGGGUUUGACGGUACCUCAGGAAUAAGGAACGGCUAACUCCGUGCCAGCAGCCGCGGUAAUACGGAGGUUCCAAGCGUUGUUCGGAAUUACUGGGCGUAAAGGGAGCGCAGGCGGGCCGGUUAGUCUAAAGUGGAAUCCCAGGGCUCAACCCUGGACGUGCUUUGGAUACUGCCGGUCUUGAGUUCGUGAGAGGAAAGUGGAAUUCAGGGUGUAGCGGUGAAAUGCU
rnacentral:rRNA from 1 species